CUGAUGAGGAAGGGGUUAACUGCUGAACCUGGACAGCUAGUCAGCUGACCAGAAGAGGCAGGACUAUAAAAACUCUGGGUUGAAUGGCAUUAAUAGGGGGUCAGA